UAUUGAUUGUGAAUCGUUGCCUUCAGUGCUGGCCAGCUCUGGGAAGGGCCCCCUGGUGACUUUCAUCCAUUCCCCUGUGAACCUUUGGCCUCUUGCUUGCUUCAGUGGGCAGAGGAUUUACACUCACUCUAAUGUAAUGAAACUAUGUUGUGCGAAAGCACGAAUGUACAACUUUCAACAACGGAUCUCUUGGCUCUCGCAUCGAUGAAGAACGCAGCGAAAUGCGAUAAGUAAUGUGAAUUGCAUAAUUCACUGAAUCAUCCAAUCUUUGAACGCACCUUGCACCCUUUGGUAUCCCCAAAGGGUAUGCUCGUUUGAGUGUCAUUGUACCCUCCCACUUCUGGUCUUUGGGCUGGGAUCGGUGGACUUGGGUGUUGCUGCUUUACCGUGGUUCACCUUAAAUGCAUUACUGCAUCUCCACAUUGGACAUAGUACAACGUGAUAAAUAUCUUCGCUGGCGCCUCGCUUCACAGGGUGGCUGAUCCAUAGCUCUGUGCUUUCAAACCGUCUCUGACAAUAACUGACAACUUGGCCUCAAAUCGAGUAGGACUACCCGCUGAACUUAA
rnacentral:rRNA from 1 species